rnacentral:rRNA from 1 species
AUACGGAGGGCGCAAGCGUUACUGGGAAUCACUGGGCGUAAAGCGCGCGCAGGCGGUCUUUUAAGUUGGAUGUGAAAGCCUACGGCUCAACCGUAGAACUGCAUCCAAAACUAUUAGACUAGAGUGUGGGAGAGGAAGAUGGAAUUAGUUGUGUAGGGGUAAAAUCCGUAGAGAUAACUAGGAAUACCAAAAGCGAAGGCAAUCUUCUGGAACACUACUGACGCUGAGGCGCGAAAGCGUGGGGAGCAAACAGGAUUAGAAACCCUAGUAGUCC